GGUAAACCGCCUGUUAGUCUUGAGCUGUCCGGCAUCCUCCCUCCCUUCCUCAGAGUAAGGAGUUCAGAUUUGGGAAGAGAUCACCACUCCUGUAGCAACUGGACUAACUGUGCUCUGACACCAGGAACAGCAGGAGAAGCGCGCUGACCCGAGAUGCCCCUUGGAGUCCUAUGGCUAUUCGUGAGCCAGGCCUGGCUGGUGAUGUUUCCUGAGAAAGGCUGACCCAGCUGCUCUGCGAAGACAGGAAACAGGGGGACAUCUGCAGGUCCCAUAAUGACUGGCUUUCCUGAGAUUGAGACAAUUUGCACUGUACCGUAUGAAAGACUAUCCCAUUUGGCACAGAACUGUCCCCUUCGAAAGUCUGAUUGGACACCUAUGUAGGUGGAAAAAAAUGCAUAUAGUGAUCUUAUCCAGGACCUCAACUCUGGUGUACAUGUAAACGUAAAAUAACCACACAUGUUCCUUGACUUACAAGGAGGGUCACCACCUUCUAACUCACUGUAAUUUGAAAAUAGAGGGGCUGGUAGUAAGUUACAGUUAGACAGAAGCAGCAGCGGGGUGAGUCAAAUAACAGACACACACUGUGCACCUCAAAAAGUUACAGGGAAGAUUUGGGAGGUUUCAUCAUAAAGAAAGGAGAGACAUGCCUAAAUGAUUUAAAUAUUACAGAUAUCCAGACAUCAUUCCAUUAAUAUGUAUGUUAGAAUGUUUUAUGUAUCAGUUCGAAAAUAUACUUUAAAAAAAAAAGAGCUGUAAAUUUACAUUUAGUAGAUUACACGCAAUCAACUGAACAUCCUAGCGUAGAAACUAAAUCCGCUGUGCUCACGGCAUGCUUCCCCCCACCCUUCAGAGGCUAUCAGAGCUUUGCUGCCACCGUCCAGCUUCGUACCCAGGAGGCCAGCAGUCAAAGCAUGGUCGAUACUAAUGCAUGGGGCUUUGCAGCCACGAAGUUGGAAACCUGGAAGCUGAACUACCUUAAUUCUGGAAACGCUGGUUACACUCAUUGCUUGACUUUGCAGAAAAUAUAAAUAUUCCAUCAAUGAAAGGGUUUGCCUUGUUCACAUUGUGAAGGAAAUGAGAAAGUUGUCAGAAUAAAAAAGGAAUCACUGUGUCAGCCCUAACAACAAGGGGGGGGGGGGGAAGCUGUGUGUGUGUGUGUGUGUGUGUGUGUGUGUGUGUGUGUGCAGCUUGCAUGCGCUGGCUCGGAGGUUAAGAGCACUGACUGCUCUCCCAGAGGUCCUGAGUUCAAUUCCCAGCAACCACAUGGUGGCUCACAACCAUCUGUAAUGAGAUCUGAUGCCCUCUUCUGGUGUCUGAAGACAGCUACAGUGUACUCAUAUAAAUAAAAUAAAUCUUAAAAAAAAUGAGGCUGGGAUGUUAUAAAGGGAUGUCAUGAAAACCUGACAGCAACCAUCACGCCCGGGUUGACCAGAACCGCAGCAUGCACAGGGGACAACAACCUUGUGGGGAAAGCACGUCUCCAAGGGCUUCUGCCCAGUGCCCUUCAGCCUCGACUCAAGCCACUCUUGUUAUCAGCCACCGUGGCCAGAAGACUUUUGAAAUACCUGAUACUGAUGCUCACUUUUGGUUUGAAGGCUCUGCUUUCAAAGCCCUGUGAACACACCCAUACUUCACCGUCACAGUCCCCCUCAGUGUUCUGCUGCUCCCAAAUAAAUAGCAGUUAUUGCUUUGAGCAUCUGUCCUUGUUUUAAAAAAAAAAAGUUUGAUGAGAUUUUUAUCAAAAGCUCGUCACCACUUUUAGAAAACAAUGCCCCCGGGGUUGGGGAUUUAGCUCAGUGGUAGAGCGCUUGCCUAGGAAGCGCAAGGCCCUGGGUUUGGUCCCCAGCUCCGGAAAAAAAAAAAAAAAAAGAACCAAAAAAAAAAAAAAAAAAAAGAAAGAAAACAA